rnacentral:rRNA from 1 species
GACGAACACUGGCGGCGUGCUUAACACAUGCAAGUCGAACGGUAAGGCCCUUCGGGGUACACGAGUGGCGAACGGGUGAGUAACACGUGGGUGAUCUGCCCUGCACUUCGGGAUAAGCCUGGGAAACUGGGUCUAAUACCGGAUAGGACCCUGGGAUGCAUGUCCUGGGGUGGAAAGCUUUUGCGGUGUGGGAUGGGCCCGCGGCCUAUCAGCUUGUUGGUGGGGUGAUGGCCGACCAAGGCGACGACGGGUAGCCGGCCUGAGAGGGUGACCGGCCACACUGGGACUGAGAUACGGCCCAGACUCCUACGGGAGGCAGCAGUGGGGAAUAUUGCACAAUGGGCGCAAGCCUGAUGCAGCGACGCCGCGUGAGGGAUGACGGCCUUCGGGUUGUAAACCUCUUUCAGCACCGACGAAGCGCAAGUGACGGUAGGUGCAGAAGAAGGACCGGCCAACUACGUGCCAGCAGCCGCAGUAA